rnacentral:rRNA from 1 species
AUUGAACGCUGGCGGCAGGCCUAACACAUGCAAGUCGAGCGGGGUUUUCGGACCUAGCGGCGGACGGGUGAGUAAUGCGUAGGAAGCUACCCGAUAGAGGGGGAUACCAGUUGGAAACGACUGUUAAUACCGCAUAAUGUCUACGGACCAAAGUGUGGGACCUUCGGGCCACAUGCUAUCGGAUGCGCCUACGUGGGAUUAGCUCGUUGGUGAGGUAAUGGCUCACCAAGGCGACGAUCUCUAGCUGGUUUGAGAGGAUGAUCAGCCACACUGGAAAGGGGACACGGUCGAGACUCCUACGGGAGGCAGCAGUGGGGAAUAUUGGACAAGGGGCGCAAGCCUGAGCCAGCCAUGCCGCGUGUGUGAAGAAGGCCUUCGGGUUGUAAAGCACUUUCAGCGAGGAGGAAGGGUUGUGUGUUAAUAGUACACAGCCUUGACGUUACUCGCAGAAGAAGCACCGGCUAACUCUGUGCCAGCCGCCGCAGUAAGAC